rnacentral:lncRNA from 1 species
AGAAAACUAUUACUCCUUUCAAAAGAUAGAUAAAAAUACAACAAAUAUAUGAACAUUCAAUAAUUUUUAAAUGAUAAUGUUUAUAUCAUCUCUUCUAUUUACAAAAUGUUCCACUUUGCAAAAACAUGUUAUCCCCCAAUGAGGUCUGUUUUUGUUGUUUGACCUGCUCUGCAACAAACACUGGACUUUCCUAACAAAUUUAGAUAUGGCGUUUAUAGGAAGUGAUGUUGGAUGUUUUCAUAACGUGGCUUUUUGAAACUAAAAUUCAGUAAAUAGAAAUAUCAGUGAGGGGUCUUUGGUUGGAGAAACUGAACUGCAAGAUCAGGGCUUUUCCCACCCACUUUUCCCCCCGACAGCAGGCCCUAUGCACUCCCAUUCUCUGUAUCUGUCUCCUAACCUGACCACCGCCCCCCACCACCAUCUUUCCAUGGUGAUAGAGCUGUUCACCCACAAGAGUGCUAAAAGGUCAUUGUAAAGGUAAUUUUCUUGUAAUCAGGAAAGAUGGAAACAAAUAAAAUGUGAAUGCAUCAUUAUUACUAUCAUCGGCAAGGCUGAGAAACAGAUUGUUGGAUAUAUGAUUAACAUGUUUGAAUAUAUGAGCUGUGAAUGGCCUAUAAGUUCUAAUACUAAGUCAAGUUCAGAAAAUGUCUUUAAUGAAGUUCUAAAUAUGAAUAUGAACUGCUCAAUGCCUUAUUUUGGCAUUCCUGCUGUUUAACGUGUUUAUGAUGUGUUUUGACUAUUAAACUGUAAAGUCUUUCACUGUUUAUAUUCCCUCACACUCCCACUGCAUACACUAUUAUUACCAUACUUUUUAGAAUUUUCUGGAAGAGUCUAUUCAGUCACAAUCAUUGUAGACAGAUGUUAGUAUGCAGAGAUUUUAAGCACAGAAAGUAGAAGCAAUGUUACCACAUCUUCCACAGACUAUCUCCUUAAAAUACUUGUGAAUUAUUUUUGAAAACUCACAAAAUUGUGAAAUUUCUACUGGUGUCUGAAACCAUCAGCUACAUCUUCUGUUUUUAUUUUUUCCGCUUUUAUUCACCGUCCGGUUAAAUUGGAUACUCUGGUUGUUUCUGAUUAAAAUCUCCUUGCUAAUAUAUAUUCCUCUCAUGGCUGUUCGUUAUGCAUUAUACAUUUCCUUUCCCAAAAUGAAAUCACUGCUUUUUUGGUAUAUUUUAAUUUUAUUUGCACCGCUUAACUUUCAUAUAUAGAUUUUUAGCAAAUGACCUCGUUGUAACUGUCAGUUUACUAUCAACCGAGCUUUCUCUUGGGCAAAUUUUCCACAUCCACUGUUCACCUCAAUCACCCACUGUGGUUUCCUGAUCUCUCUCUAACUAUUUGGUGGCUUCAAAAGCUGAUAUUUUAUGGUAUUCAAUAGUAAAACUAACAAUAAAAGCUAUCAAUAUUCUAAAAUAGGACAUUUUGAAAUCUAUUUCUACUAGAGAAAUGAAUUAAACAAAUGAACUAGAACAUGUAAAAAAAUCCCGUCUGGAUGUUAAAUAUAAACAUAUGAAAAAUAUGGAAAUAUCACUGAAUAGAUAUAAUUAAUAGUGCUUUAUCAGAGUAAUAUUUUUGUAAGGUUAAAAAAUAAAGAACACCUUUUGUUUCCAUUAUUUAGGCAUUAGGACUGUUCCCUUUAUGACAUGUACUGGUCAGCGCUACAUGAAGACUUAUCUUUCUUUAUCUGAACUUCAAACCAUGCUACCAGCCACUGCUUGUGAAACACCACUUUCUGCUUUAGUUAUUUUCACAAGUCCUACUGCCCGCAGUACACUGCCCCCUCUUUGAGGACACGGCGUAUCUAUAUGAAGGCUGAUGGCUCUCACUGAUCCUAGCUUGCUAUUUUUACCACAAUACGUAUUCAUCUAUAAACCAACUUUACAAAAGAAAAUAUCUCAAAUCAGAAAUGUAAUGUUUAUUUCAUAUGAUUAAACUUUUCCCCAUGAUCCCAGACACUUGUUAGCUCUUUAAAACAAGUUUAUUCUUAGUUAAUAGCUCUGAAACUUUUUUAAAAAUGAAAAGACAGAGAAAACCCAGUGUUAAAUGCAAAUUUUUUAAAAAACUCUUUGCAGGAGGAAAUAUCUUUAUUUCGUGAAUUUAGCUAAAGAGGGACUCGAAUGGAGUUGAUAUCUGUAUGGAAAUCAGCCUUUGGAUUACAUAGUAUUUACCAAAGCUCUUUUUAAUAAUAUGAUGUUAUUUGAUAUCCAGAUGAUUUGAAUAAAUUGGCAUUGUUUAGGGAAAACCUAUAUCUUCAUACAUACACUCAUGUACAAAUCGUGUCCAUGCUUCAUGGGAGUAUGUACCUUGUCAAUUAUUAUUCACCUCUUUGGGUAUAUAAAAGAUACAUCUCUCGAUUUCUUAAAACAAUGGCAAAAGAGAAGAGAGUUUCCCUUUUGGAGAAUAUCCCCUACUUGAAGCGUACUACUUAUUUCAGAAACAUCUUCGCCUUUUUAAAAUAAUUGAUCUCAGUGGAAAAGAAAUUCUCCACUCUACCCAAUAUGACUACAUUUCAUCUUGAAAGUAAUAGAUCCUGAGCUGUUUUAACAAAGGAUAAUCACGGAAACCUAGAGUAAAAUCUCAAAAAUAGUGGGAAAAGUACCAAAUACAUAAUGCCCAAUAAUCUAACACAAAUCCAUCAAAGAUUCUUCACUUUUAUAGAUGUCAUAGGCAUGUGUGGUAAGAUGCCUCUCAAAAAACACAAAUAAUUACCUGCAACAGAUGUACUGGAAUCACUAAAGCUCUAACUAUAAUAUGUAGAAAACUGCAACCAUGUAUUUGCUAGGGGUUUUUUCAAGGAGAUAGCUGUAAUAAUUUCCCUACCUCAAACCUAAAAAUACAAAAUAUGUCUAGAGAUAUUUAAGGCCACACGUCAACAGCUCUUCUUGAAUCCUCUGCUUUGCAAUCAAUAAUUCUCCAGCCACUAGUGAAUAUGCUCCAUGACUCAUCAAAAACGGUAUACGCAGUCAAUGGGGAUCAUUGUUCCCCUCAUGCUCCACACAUGCGUUGACACUGACAGCAGUUAUGCCUCCUAUAGUGGGAGACAGCAUCAAGAUGGCACCAAGCCGGGAGGCAACUCCUCUGAGGUUCUCUAUAAAAUUGCCCCACCCAAAGGGGAACCCACUACAUCCAUCCUGUCUUACAUCUUUGGCAUCCUUCAAGGAAAUAAAAGUAGGCAUACUUUAUAUGGAUGGAAAGCGACUGCAUUUUUUCAGCUUCACACUCACUGUGCAUGGCAAAAUGUACUUCAGUUAUGAAAAUAUCUGGAAGGAAUGUUUCCAGGACCUAUGCCAUUGUGCUCUGUUUACCAGUCAGAUGCUUUCUCAAGAAUGUGUUCAAAUUACAAAGACAACAUCUCCGUGUAUAGGAAUUCUUCAAAGCCCAUAACAUGACUGCAGAAACAUAUUUUCACAUUUCCUAACAUUCGAACGCAUGCCCUCUUCCCCACAGGUGAAAACCCUUCAAUCUCACACAUCCAUCAAACUAUGAUUAACAUUUGGUCAGGAGUUUGUCUGGACUGAUUUGAUGUUUUUAUUUUCUAAGGAAGGAAAGUCACAGAAAAGGAAAAUACAUAUUAAGCAUUUGAGGAUAAUUGCUAUUUACUGAAAACUCUAUUUUAAAAUCAAUUUUAGUGACUCGUCUAAGUUUGGUAACUUCAGGACAAUGAUAACUCUAGUGUCUCUAGAAUGUUCCUAAGUAGCAAUCAUACUCUGUUCUGGCCUUUGAGAGGUGUUAAGACUCAUCCCCUAAUUAUAAGCCUUUUCUCUGUGAUUGCUACCUCACCACUAAAUCUCCAAACUAAAUACUAGUUUUGAGGAAAUAAAAAUAGAUGUUUGGUGUGUUUUCUCAAAUUUUGGUUACAAUGGAUAAGAAAGACGAGGUAUUUCUAUGUAUAAUAAACUUCUUUAGCUUGUAAAAAUAAGAGUCCAUUUUGUUGUGUUCUGACCAGCAAACUCUUUAGGCUUUCUCUCAGAAUACUGCUUUCCUGCUUCAUUCUAGAACAGCACUGCCCAUUAGAAAUACCACGCAUGCCACAUUUGACACUUUAAGUUUCCUAGUAGGCGCAUUAAAAAAGCAACGGGUGAAAUUAAUCUAACAAUAUAUUCUAUUGAAACCAAUACAUCCCAAAUAUUAUCACUCUAACAAAUAAUCAAUAUAAAGAUAUUAAGCAGAUGUUUUACAUUCUUUCCUUCCUACGAAGUUUUCAAAACCCAGAUGUAUUUUCCACUUCGAGCAAAUCUCAGCCCAGAUGAGCCACACUUCAAGUGCUCAACAGCCACAUGGGGCUAGUGGCUACUGCAGUGGACAGCACAUUCUACAUUUCCAAAAAUACGAAGUUUAUAUGCUUUAACAUCUUCCUAGGUAACAUCCUCUGUGAUGGGUAUUGCUGUUAGGAUUUCAUAUUUAGCAAACAUUUAAGUGAAUGUACUCCACUUCCUCCCUCCCCUCCGUGACCCUCAUAUCUGCUGCCCAGCCUGCUGUCUCUUUCUUAGCGUGUAAGAAACUCCAAUCGCCUCUUCUUUGGAGCCUCUCCUAAGCAAGAUGUGAGAUGCUUUCUAAUCUGCGCAUCUUCUAUCACCAAGCAGAAAGCCAGAAGGUGCAGCAAAGCUCCUUUCUCUGGUUCCAUAAAUAGACGUAUCAAGAACAGACCUAAUGUAUGGCGACAAUGAUAAAUGCAAGGGCAAUAUUUCUGCUUACAAUGAAGACAGGAAAUUCUAUAUAAUAAAGUAACACACUCUUCCUCAAUGAGAAAUGCGAUUUUACUCUUUUUUUCUCCCCAGGAGAAACCUUGGGAUAUUCUGUUCCUGCUCUGGAACAGAACCCAGUGUUUCAUUUCAUAGGAAUUCUGUGCCCAGAGGAAGAAGAGAAUUUUGGAAUCAAAAUUUAAUGAAUUCAACUUGGAGUCUCAGUAUGCCUCAAAUGUGGGGAUGCAAACACAAGCAGUAAUAUCUCAAACCAUAAAACACUCCAGCGUCUCUCUUGGCACUGCUGCACAGAGAAUCACGCUUAUGUGUAUCUACACACAGAUUUGUUCUUGGUUACAUGAGAAGAAAAUUAAACUAGGCACAUGUGAGGCUGAAUCUCCUAGCAAUAAUAAAACCUGAUGAUUAUGUCUUAAGUGACACUGUAAUUAUCGACGGAUGGAUGAACAGGUUUUCUGGUGCUGACCCAACCUGUUCCCUAAAAUACAAAAGGCAGCUUUUGUAGUGCUCGGCGAGGAAACCCCUUAUUAAACAAACAGAACUAGAAGCUAUGUCCACAUUUUCAAAGAAGGGCUAACAACACAGUAAUCCAAAAACAUUUCACGCCAUGCACCAUACACAGCACGGAUGAAACUCAGAACGCUGUAAGCUUCCUAAAAAAGUCCUGAGCUACAGUUGUCCCCAACUUUAAGAAAGCAAAGAUACAAGUGACAACGGUGUGCUUUCUCCAGCUACAAAAUAACUUUAUUCAGCGUCUCUCUGGCCAUAACUACAUCCAAGACCUUCCAAGUACUGGGCUAAAUAUUCUUAGGAUGAAUUUUACAAUCAUUGAAUCUUCAUUUUAACUUGUCUCCGUGAUCUUUUAUCUCAAUAGCGAGACAAGGAGAAACACCAAGGCUCUCAGGAUCCCACAGAGAUAACACGGAGUGGAUCACUUACGCUGGUAUAGAACAGCUAUGGACUCAGUACCCCCGGGUAUAAACAGACGCCGUGUUCAAACCCAGGAGGGAGGAACACCGCGUCCACGGGUGUAGUAUUUCAAAGCGCGUUGCAGAGGGCCUGCAAAUCCAAAGGCAUUAAUGACGACUUCUCUCUCCGUGUAUCAAUUUGUUUAAGAAAUUCCUCCGAGUGUGGCAGAGCCUACCACCCAUUUGCUACAGCUUGCGCCUGUGCCGGGGGCCACACGAAGUAAAGGCAGCGGCAGUCGCCUUUCUGGCAGCUUCUCACUCGAUCUUAAUCCUAGGGAAGUACCCUGCACGGAAUCACCCCACAGAGCCCCGGCAGCCGCACACCCCGCGUCCCCGGGGAGGCCGUGCACACAAGAGCCCUUCCACAGCACCCCGCCGCCUGCGCGCUGCUGGGAGGGCGAGCAGAGCUCCGCCAGGUACCUGCUCGUGUUACAGGCUCUGGAAUCAAAGUAUUCUCACAUGACACAUCACUGCCAAUAACAGAUUCCGGCUCCAUUAAAAAAAAAAAAAGUGGUGGGGGGGGGCUACAUAUUUGUCCUGCUUUUGUCUAAAACCCAGAACCCAAGUACUAACACUUUUCCUUCUCAAUCUUUCAUGAAAGCAAUUCAAUCAAGCUACUGCGGCUCCACCCAGAGAGCGUCUAUACUUACUUUUCUUACAGUUUUUGAGUGACGCACUACAAAACGAUGGGGGAAAAAAAAAAAGGAGCCCUCUGGUCUCACGCAGGGCGUCUUCCGCCCUGUAAACUUGGCAAAAGGCGAACUGGACUGAAAUCCAGCACUCUCCAUAUAAGGAAGCCCAGCUAAACAUGUCAUGCGUAAUUUACGGGUAGCAGGCAGAGAAUUAACCUUUGCGUGCACAUCUUUGGCCCCGGCGAAAACCGGGCUGGAUGGCAGCCCCGGGGACGGGGACGCGGGGUCUCCCGGGAGAAACCGGGGCUCCCAUCCCAUGGGCUUGCAUCCGCCCCCGACAAAGGUCAUUAAGUUAAUAUUGGACAAAACGUUGGAUAUGGUGUGAUGAUCUUCCUACAGCUUUGUUGUGUUCAAGAGGGUGGGACCGACUUAAAGAGAAGAUGAAAAAACAUCGUGAAAGAAUUCAAGUGUCUGGAAUUAGAGCCACGGGGGAGCCCUCACAGUACGCAGGGCACACCUCCACACUGCCCGAAUUCCUCCUCUUUCGUAACACAGGAUUCUAUUACUGGCUGCGUGAAUGGGUGGGCUGCUUUGGGAAGUUCGUCCCGUGACAGAGGAGAGGGAGACACCCACUAACCUGAGAGAUCAGCUGGAUCAGCCCUGGAUAUCAACAGUCGGCAGACCCCCAGCUGGAUCACCCACACGUCACAGAGCCAGCCGCGUCUCAGUAAGACCGGUAUAAAGUUUCACAAUGCAAUGCAGCAGUCAUCCACUUUCAACUUUUAUUAGACUCGAUGAAAAUUUAUGUCUUAGGUAGUGUGUCACAUGAACGUAAUCUUAAUGAAACAUAGUAAAAUAUAUGUCUAUAUUUCAAAAGUCAAAAUUUAUCUUUUCCAGCAAUAAAUUAUUACAACAUGAUGUCUAAUUUUACUUAACGUGGAUUUGGGGGCAGGCUCUAAAUGCUUUUUCUUAUGACAGCAUGUGAAAUAAAAAGCAUGGGCAAUGUGUCCUGCUGUUCUAAUGAUGACAAGAAUAUUCUCUUCAACGAUCUGUGUGUCUCACGGAAACUCAGUCAGAUAAGCACUAAUUUUUUUCUGUAGAUAUAAUUUUCUCAAAGACAGAACAAAUCCUAAAAUUAUUUUCCAUAAUCUAGAACCAGUUUGUUUGCUCAGAGAUUUUAGUAAUUCUCAGCAACAACAACAUCAACACAUCUGUCUUGUCAGCAAGAUAGCAUUCCCUCUGCUUCUCUGGCCUUUGUUUGCCAUUCUGAAUUACAGGACUGAUCAAUUUAGAUUGUAAUUUCCUUGGGCUAUGUUUUCUCUUGGUCUUAUCAGUUAUUCAGCAUAAUACCACAUUAUGUCUAACACACCCACAGCACUUAAUAGUUUAUGAUAUCAAAAUACCUCAUACUUGAAAUUCUGGACAUUUAAAAAGACUUCCAUCAUUUUCUUUUUAAAGACAGGGGCAUUAAAACAACAAACAACAUAAUCAAGUUGUAAUGGAAAUAGUUUUGUUUAAUUAUCGUGUGACACAUAAAGCUGAAGAUGCACAAUUUUAAUGGAUUUCUCACAACUCCAAACUUAAUUUAAAAAUUUUGACCUAGUUAAGGAUGUUGAACUUUAGUCAACAGUUCAUUUCCUAAAUUUAUAACACUAACAAUGUGUUUUUCUUCUCUCUAUAAUCAAAAGAUAGCUACUCUCGUCACAGAAGCUUGCAUAAAAAUAGUUUUAAAAGACCAUCUUCCAAGUAAUGUAAUAGAACCAGUAUGACAACACCAUUUACCAAAAUUGAUAAAAAUUAAAUCUGUUAAUUGAUGGAACAAUACAUACUUUCUUGUUGGGGGAGCCAUGCGAUUGAUUACUCUAAUUUAAAAAAGCGAACCAAGAAGGAGACACCUCCUGUGUGGCUAAAUGAUAAUCAGAGAAAAACAGAAAACACUGAUCUACGCAGAAGAAGACUGUCAAGCUGACACAUGAGGGAUAAACUGACUUUCAUAAGGCUAAUUAAUUUAAAGUCUUUGGAGUAUGAUCUAAAUGCUAAUCCGAUUGCAGACAUCUUGUAAAAAGAAAAAAAAAACUUCAGUAAACGGGCAUUUUCCUGGAAUCUGGGUAGUGGUUUUUUACCUACAAGUCUUGAACUUCCUUUCUCAUGAAGAGUUGCCUGCUACAUACAGAUAAAGCAUUGCAAAACCGAAACUGUCGCUUAUCCACGAGCUAUGGCCUCUCUCAACUUCAGCCGCAAGAAUAAAAACAGGUGCAGAUCCUGCAAUGCUGAACAUUUACCAGUUAAGUUUCUAACAUGUUGGAGCACUAAUUGAAAAUAUUUACAAAACAGUAGGGACAAUGGUUGAAAAAGGACAUGAAAACAGUUGAUCAAAGCAAAUAUUAUUGUCAAUGCCAAAUAAAAGGAAAUACUCAUAUAUAUACGCAUACACACUUAUAUAUAUAUAUAUAUACUUCUCCCAGGCUACCGGUUAACAGAAGCAAAUUAGCAGCUGCAAUUUGUACGUGGCAGUCCCUCCCACCCUCCCCUGCUGGUUGGGGAAGAGGAAAGGUGUGGAUUGCAAGAAUCACUUAGCAGUUAUGCAAACCUCCACACAUUGCAAGAACCACUUUCUGGAGUUUAGAAACUAUCGUGUUCUCAGGGUAUCACAGUCUGCUUUUUAUUGAACCAUAUUUUCAAAGGGGCAAUAAAGAGUAAUUAGGGAUGAUUAAAAAUGGAAGCAUUUUCCAUUUCACUCAAACCCAUACUUACUGCGAAUUUGCAGGAAGUAAAAGUAAAUGAACAAACAAUACCAAGAAGACUGCCUCCACACAAAAAAACAAAACAAACAAAAGAACCACCAGAGUAUUCUCAACAUAAAAUUUUAUUUGAAUUCUUUAGUGAGACACUUGUAGGAAAAUCCUUGAAGAAAAAGUUACCGAUGUGAUUAAUAUUGCUUAGACUCUAUGUGUUUUGGGAAAUGUUAAAUGUUAUUGUAUUGACUAUUAGUAUAAAACACUAGGUCCUUCCGCUUCCCAAAGACCCAGGCUCACUAUCUGAAGGGUGGUGCUCAAUGUUGGGCAUGAUCUUAAUGUGCUAGCUUGAUACUUGUGUCCCUUUGACCUGGGUCGUGGACGUAUGUCUCUGGUUCUGUAACGAUCCUUUCCAGGCUGGCGAACAUGCUCAAGGUUCCUCUAUUUUAAAAAAUUCUCCUCUGACUGAUCUGCCCCUAUUACUUUCCUUUUUGAGAAAGUUGUCAUCAUUGACUUCCUUCAAGUCCCCAUAGCCUUUGUGUGUGGUAGAAUAUACAUAAAAUAAAAUUGACCGUUUUUGUCAUUUUUAAGUGUGCAGUCCAGAGGCAUUAAGCACGUUCACAUUGUUGUGCAACCAUCACCACCAUCCGUCUCCGGAUCUUAUUCAUCCCCCUAAACUGAAACUCUGUGCUCAUUAAACAAUAACUCCCCAUUUCUCCUCCCCAACCAGCCCCUGGCGACCACCAUUCUACUUUCUGUCUCUAUGAAUUUGCCUUCUCUAGGGACCUCGUAUAAAUGGAGUCACAGAAUAUUUGUCCUUGUGGCUGGCUUAUUUCACUUAGGUUCAUCGAGGUUGUAGCAUGCGUCUGAAUUUUAAUUUGUAUUUACCUGAUUGCUAUGGAGAUUGAACAUAUUUUAAUGUUGUAUUCCCUUCAUGUUUCCUGUUUGGUAAAUUGCCUGCUCCUCCAUUCCAGACGUUUGUUUAUCGGAUAUUGUCAACUUCUUAUUGGUUUGUAAGGUUAAAUUUACCUUGUGUUUCAAUGUAUUGUAUUCAUUCUUUUUUUAAUGCUCCAGUCAUUGGUUACUGUAACUUUUUGAGAUGACCCCAAUGUUCUUCAAUAAUAUCUUUACCUUCUGGCACAACAAGGAACCCAGGUUCUUUUUAUGUUUCCUACCCAGACCUGAACCUGAACUUAGGCGUUUCUCUAAAGGACAUUAGUUCCUUUCAGAGACCAGGUUUAAAAGAAUUUUUUUUUAGGAAGAUUAGCCCUGAGCUAACAUCCGUGCGCAUCUUCCUCUGCUUUAUAUGUGGGACGCCUGCCACAGCAUGGCUUGAUAAGUGGUGCAUAGGUCCGCACCCAGGAUCUAAACUGGGGAACGCUGCACCGCCCAAGCAGAGCCGUGAGCUUAACCACUACACCGCCUGGCGGGCCCCUGGGACAGGGCUUUUGAGACCACACUUUAGACCUUAGUGGCACUCAUUGUUACUGGGUUAUCAUUAACAUUAGGAAUACACUGACUUAUCAUAAGCAUUAGCAGUUAGUCAACAAAAUGUUAGCUCUUUCUAUAUGCCCAGCAGCACAUACAUGCAAGAUAAAUUUAAACACGUAUUAAAAGUUUAUAAUGUGUGUUAAUAUUACAUCAUAUUUUGCAUUAAAAUAAUUUAAGAAUAACAUAUCUGAUACAAAAAUAUCUUCUUUUGAAUAAAAAUUUGGUCGUAUUUUCUUAUAAAAGGAUAGUUUGAUAAGGAAAUGUAGGGGCCGCCCAGUGGUGCAGCGAUUAAGUGCGCAUGUUCUGCUUCACCGGUCCAGGGUUCCCCAGCCCGGAUCCCGGGUGCGGACAUGGCACCGCUUAGCAAGCCAAGGUGUGGCAGGUGUCCCACAUAUAAAAUAGAGGAAGAUGGGCAUGGAUGUUAGCUCAGGGCCAGUCUUCCUCAGCAAAAAGAGGAGGAUUGGCAGCAGAUGUUAGCUCAGGGCUAAUCUUCCUCAAAACAGACAAACAACAACGACAACAAAAGAAAGGUAAUAACAUAGUAAUUGUCAUAUCUUGCAUUUAGAACUUUGAAAAUACCCUUCCAAAGAAAUUUCAAAAAUCGUGUAGAUUGGAAAAAUGUACUCAGCUUCCAUAUUUUCCAUUAGUUUCAUCCACAUUUAUCAUUAUGAUUCUCAGUCUCUGUUUCUUUCAAUUUUUUUGCUAUUAUGCACUUAUGACUUAAAAGUUAGCAA